rnacentral:rRNA from 1 species
ACCCGGUUGACUCUGCCGGUAGUAUAUGCUUGUCUCAAGGAUUAAGCCAUGCAUGCGAAAGUAUAAGACUUUAUACGUCGAAACCGCAGACGGCUCAUUAAAACAGUUAUGAUCUACACGCAUUUUGAUUACACGGCUAACCGUGGGAAUUCUGGGGAUAAUACGUGCAAGUUUACGCUUCACUCUUUUUCAGAGUUGUUGUAGAAAACCUCGCAUUCGCACUUUCACCAUUUGAAUAAGUCUACAAUUCAAUUGCUUGUCAAUGAUGCGUUUGAAUAUCUGAUCUAUCAGCUCGUCGGUAGUGUAGUGGACUACCGUGGCGAUAACGGAUAACGGGGAAUUAGGGUUCGAUUCCGGAGAAGGAGCCUUAAAAACAGCUACUACAUCUAAGGAAGGCAGCAGGCGCGCAAAUUGCUCAAUGAAGGUCAUUCGAAGCAGUGACAAGAAAUAUCAAAGCCAGCUUUCAGCUCGCUAUUGAUCUGAGAAUGAUUUAAAAACUUACUCGAUUAUUAUUGGAUCGCUAGUGGGGUGCCAGCCGGAGCGGUAAUACCUCCUCCAAUAGUGUAUGCUAAAAUUGUUGCAGUUAAAACGCUCGUAGUCGUAGUUUCUUGGCACUUUAGUCGAUCACCAUCAUGGGAUCGCUAGUGUCUUUACUGAAACACUCGUGUUUCAUAUUACCGUGAAUAAAGGGAAUUGCUCCAAGAAAGCUGUUGCUUGAACCUUUAAGCAUGGGAUAAUGAACAUGGCGGUUGCUACCAUCGUGUGGAUGGGUAGUUACUGCUUUCUAGCAGGAUUGAAGAGGGACACUCGUACUCAACAGCCAGAGGUGAAAUUCUUAGACUUGUUGAAGACGAACAGAUGCGAAAGCGAUUGUCAGAUUCGAAUCCAGUGAUCAAGAACGAAAUCCAAGGGAUCGAAGAUGAUUAGAUACCGUCGUAGUCUUGGACUUAAACUAUGUCGACUACCACUUGGAAACGUUCAAUAAUAACGUUUUCAGGGGGUCCUGGGAAACCAAAGUCUUCGGAUUCUGGGGGGAGUACAUGCGCAAGCACGAAACUUAAAGAGAUUGACGGAAGCGUACCACCAGAAGUGGAUCGUGCGGAUUAAUUUGACUCAACACGGAGAAUCUUACCAAGUUCAUACAUUAGAAUGAUUGUCAAGGUAGAAUGGUUUUUACUUAAUUUAAUGGGAGGUGGUGCAUGGCCAAACUUAGUUCGUGGAUUGAUCUGUCUGGUUUAUUCCGUUAACGAACGAGAUCUCGACUUCUAAUUUCUCUGCGGUAUAUCGCAUACCGUUUGUUGCAUUAGAAGGACACUCUGUAUAAAUCAGCAGGGAGGUUCGAGGUUAAUUUAGGUCUGUUAUGCCCUUCGAUAACUUGGGCCUCACGCGCGAUACAAUGCAAGAUUCUAUUUCUCUCUAGUUAGUAAUGAUUAGAAAAUUCUCAAUACCUUGCCUGACUGGGAUUGUUCAUUGAAAUUUUUGAUCAUGAACGAGGAAUUUCUUGUAAGCAUGGAGUCAUCAACUUCUGCUGAAUAUGUCCCUGUGCUUUGUACACACCGCCCGUCGUUUCAUCCGACUGGAAGUUAUGGUGAAUGAUCCGGAUUGCUUGCGCAAGCAUCGAGAAGGAUUGUAAAUCUUAACGUCUGAAGGAUGAAAAAGUCGUAACACGGCAACAGUUGUUGAAACAGUUGUUGGAUCAUUC